AGGAGAGUUUGAUCCUGGCUCAGGAUGAACGCUAGCGGCAGGCCUAAUACAUGCAAGUCGAACGGUAAGCGGUCCUUCGGGACCGUGAGAGUGGCGGACGGGUGCGCAACGCGUAUGCAACCAGCCCCCCUCACCGGGAUAGCCGGUGGAAACGCCGGAUAAUACCGGAUGUGCAGCCUGCGGGGCAUCCCGCGGGUUGCAAGGCGGAGACGCGGAGGGGGACGGGCAUGCGUCCCAUUAGGUAGUCGGCGGGGUGACGGCCCACCGAGCCCACGAUGGGUAGGGGAUCUGAGAGGACGGUCCCCCACACUGGUACUGAGACACGGACCAGACUCCUGCGGGAGGCAGCAGUAAGGGAUAUUGGUCAAUGGGGGGAACCCUGAACCAGCCAUGCCGCGUGAGGGAAUGAGGCCCUACGGGUCGUGAACCUCUUUUAUUCGGGGACAAGGGCGGCGUCGAGAACGCCGUUAGAGGGUACCGAAGGAAUAAGCGUCGGCUAACUCCGUGCCAGCAGCCGCGGUAAUACGGAGGACGCGAGCGUUAUCCGGAUUCAUUGGGUUUAAAGGGUGCGCAGGCGGCUCGACAAGUCAGCGGUGAAAGCCCGGGGCCCAACCCCGGAAGUGCCGUUGAUACUGCCGGGCUCGAAUGCGGUCGAGGCGGGCGGAACGUGGCGUGUAGCGGUGAAAUGCGUAGAUAUGCCACAGAACGCCGAUAGCGGAGGCAGCUCGCCAGGCCUGCAUUGACGCUCGGGCACGAAAGCGUGGGGAUCGAACAGGAUUAGAUACCCUGGUAGUCCCCU
rnacentral:rRNA from 1 species